rnacentral:rRNA from 1 species
GCAACCCUUGUCCUUAGUUACCAGCACGUUAUGGUGGGCACUCUAAGGAGACUGCCGGUGACAAACCGGAGGAAGGUCGGGAUGACGUCAAGUCAUCAUGGCCCUUACGGCCUGGGCUACACACGUGCUACAAUGGUCGGUACAAAGGGUUGCCAAGCCGCGAGGUGGAGCUAAUCCCAUAAAACCGAUCGUAGUCCGGAUCGCAGUCUGCAACUCGCCUGCAUGAAGCCGGAAUCGCUAGUAAUCGCGGAUCAGCAUGCCGCGGUGAAUACGUUCCCGGGCCUU